AACGAACGCUGGCGGCAGGCCUAACACAUGCAAGUCGAGCGAGACCUUCGGGUCUAGCGGCGGACGGGUUAGUAACGCGUGGGAAUAUACCCUUCACUACGGAAUAGCCUCGGGAAACUGGGAGUAAUACCGUAUACGCCCUUCGGGGGAAAGAUUUAUCGGUGAAGGAUUAGCCCGCGUCUGAUUAGAUAGUUGGUGGGGUAACGGCCUACCAAGUCGACGAUCAGUAGCUGGUUUGAGAGGAUGAUCAGCAACACUGGGACUGAGACACGGCCCAG
rnacentral:rRNA from 1 species